rnacentral:rRNA from 1 species
UACGAAGGGGGCUAGCGUUGUUCGGAAUUACUGGGCGUAAAGCGCACGUAGGCGGACUGAUAAGUCAGGGGUGAAAUCCCGGGGCUCAACCCCGGAACUGCCUUUGAUACUGUCAGUCUAGAGUUCGAGAGAGGUGAGUGGAAUUCCGAGUGUAGAGGUGAAAUUCGUAGAUAUUCGGAGGAACACCAGUGGCGAAGGCGGCUCACUGGCUCGAUACUGACGCUGAGGUGCGAAAGCGUGGGGAGCAAACAGG